rnacentral:rRNA from 1 species
ACGAACGCUGGCGGCGUGCCUAAUACAUGCAAGUCGAACGGUCUUUCUAUGGAAGCUUGCUUCCACUGAGAAGAUAGUGGCGAACGGGUGAGUAACACGUGGGUAACCUGCCCAUAAGAGGGGGAGUAACAUCCGGAAACGGGUGCUAAUACCGCAUAGUUUUCUUGAUCGCAUGAUUGAGAAAGGAAAGACGGCCUUUGUGCUGUCGCUUAUGGAUGGACCCGCGGCGUAUUAGUUAGUUGGUGAGGUAACGGCUCACCAAGACGAUGAUACGUAGCCGACCUGAGAGGGUGAUCGGCCACAUUGGGACUGAGACACGGCCCAAACUCCUACGGGAGGCAGCAGUAGGGAAUCUUCCGCAAUGGACGAAAGUCUGACGGAGCAACGCCGCGUGAGUGAAGAAAAGGGUUUUCGGAUCGUAAAACUCUGUUGUCAGAGAAGAACAAGUUGGAGAGUAACUGCUCCAGCCUUGACGGUAUCUGACCAGAAAGCCACGGCUAACUACGUGCCAGCCGCUGC